rnacentral:rRNA from 1 species
AGAUUGAACGCUGGCGGCAGGCCUAGCACAUGCAAGUCGAGCGGUAGAGAGGUGCUUGCAUCUCUUGAGAGCGGCGGACGGGUGAGUAAUGCCUAGGAAUCUGCCUAGUGGUGGGGGAUAACGUUCGGAAACGGACGCUAAUACCGCAUACGUCCUACGGGAGAAAGCGGGGGACCUUCGGGCCUCGCGCCAUUAGAUGAGCCUAGGUCGGAUUAGCUAGUUGGUGA